GUCGAGCGGUAGCACAGGGGAGCUUGCUCCCUGGGUGACGAGCGGCGGACGGGUGAGUAAUGUCUGGGAAACUGCCCGAUGGAGGGGGAUAACUACUGGAAACGGUGGCUAAUACCGCAUAACGUCUUCGGACCAAAGUGGGGGACCUUCGGGCCUCACACCAUCGGAUGUGCCCAGAUGGGAUUAGCUAGUAGGUGGGGUAAUGGCUCACCUAGGCGACGAUCCCUAGCUGGUCUGAGAGGAUGACCAGCCACACUGGAACUGAGACACGGUCCAGACUCCUACGGGAGGCAGCAGUGGGGAAUAUUGCACAAUGGGCGCAAGCCUGAUGCAGCCAUGCCGCGUGUGUGAAGAAGGCCUUCGGGUUGUAAAGCACUUUCAGCGAGGAGGAAGGGUUCAGUGUUAAUAGCACUGUUCAUUGACGUUACUCGCAGAAGAAGCACCGGCUAACUCCGUGCCAGCAGCCGCGGUAAUACGGAGGGUGCAAGCGUUAAUCGGAAUUACUGGGCGUAAAGCGCACGCAGGCGGUUUGUUAAGUCAGAUGUGAAAUCCCCGCGCUUAACGUGGGAACUGCAUUUGAAACUGGCAAGCUAGAGUCUUGUAGAGGGGGGUAGAAUUCCAGGUGUAGCGGUGAAAUGCGUAGAGAUCUGGAGGAAUACCGGUGGCGAAGGCGGCCCCCUGGACAAAGACUGACGCUCAGGUGCGAAAGCGUGGGGAGCAUACAGGAUUAGAUACCCUGGUAGUCCACGCUGUAAACGAUGUCGACUUGGAGGUUGUGCCCUUGAGGCGUGGCUUCCGGAGCU
rnacentral:rRNA from 1 species